UACAGAGGGGGCAAGCGCUGUUCGGAAUUACUGGGCGUAAAGCGCGCGCAGGCGGAUCCUGCAAGUCCGGAGUGAAAUCUCACUGCUCAACGGUGAGGCUGCUUUGGAUACUGCGGAUCUGGAGACCGGUAGAGGCUGGUAGAAUUGCAGGUGUAGCGGUGGAAUGCGUAGAGAUCUGCAAGAAUACCCGUGGCGAAGGCGGCCAGCUGGGCCGGUUCUGACGCUGAGGCGCGAAAGCGUGGGGAGCAAACAGG
rnacentral:rRNA from 1 species